GUGUCAGCAGCCGCGGUAAGACGAAGGUGACAACCGUUGCUCGGAAUCACUGGGCAUAAAGCGCGCGUAGGUGGCUGUGUAAGUCCAUGGUGAAAUCCCUCGGCUCAACCGAGGAACAGCCGUGGAUACUGCAUAGCUUGAGAACGGGAGGGGUGAGUGGAACUCUGGGUGUAGCGGUGAAAUGCGUAGAUAUCCAGAGGAACGCCGGUGGCGAAAGCGACUCACUGGACCGUUACUGACACUGAGGCGCGAGAGCUAGGGGAGCAAACAGGAUUAGAUACCCGGGUAGUCC
rnacentral:rRNA from 1 species